GGGCUGGUAGCGCAAUGGAUAACACGUUUGACUACGGAUCAGAAGAUUCUAGGUUCGACUCCUGGCUGGCUCG